GAAGUAAAAGUCGUAACAAGGUUUCCGUAGGUGAACCUGCGGAAGGAUCAUUAAUGAAACAAAAGCUCGUGAAGGGUUGUUGCUGGCCCUCUUUUGGGGGGUAUGUGCACACCUGGAUCGUUCAUCCUCCUUUUCUUACACCUGUGCACAACCUGUAGCUUGGGAUGAUCACGAAGUGGCCUUGCUUCGAAUGCCCUUGCUAUGAACACUUUGUGUUUAUAACACACUCUUGUAAAGUUCUGUAGAAUGUCAAAUAGCGUGUAACAACGCGAAUAUAAUACAACUUUCAGCAACGGAUCUCUUGGUUCUCGCAUCGAUGAAGAACGCAGCGAAAUGCGAUAAGUAAUGUGAAUUGCAGAAUUCAGUGAAUCAUCGAAUCUUUGAACGCACCUUGCGCUCCUUGGUAUUCCGAGGAGCAUGCCUGUUUGAGUGUCAUGAAAUUCUCAACUGCUUCAGCUUUGUUGAAGUGAAGUUGGACUUGGAGGAUCUUUGCUGGCGUAAGUGUACACAAUGUUGUAACAUUUGCUUGUUGGCUCCUCUUAAAGAUAUGAAGCUUUUCUAGUAGAUCUUUGGCAGAAAAGUACCAUUGAUGUGAUAAUUAUCUGCAUCAUUGAGAAAGCCAUAGGGCAGAGUCCUACUUUAUAAGGGCUCCUACAGAAAAUGUUUAUGAUGUUCAUUGCCUUUCAACAAUGAUCACAAUUGACCAAAUUCGACCUCAAAUCAGGUAGGACUACCCGCUGAACUUAAGCAUAUC
rnacentral:rRNA from 1 species